rnacentral:rRNA from 1 species
GAUGAACGCUGGCGGCGUGCUUAACACAUGCAAGUCGAACGGACCAUAUUCGUAUGGUUAGUGGCAGACGGGUGCGUAACACGUGGGUGACCUGCCCUCAAGUGGGGAACAACUCCGCUAACGCGGAGCUAAUACCGCAUAUGUUCGCUUUUCAGUAAGGCGAGUAAAGCAGUAAUGCGCUUGGGGAUGGGCCUGCGGCGGAUUAGCUAGUUGGUGGGGUAACGGCCUACCAAGGCGAUGAUCCGUAGGGGGCGUGAGAGCGUGGCCCCCCACACUGGCACUGAGACACGGGCCAGACUCCUACGGGAGGCAGCAGUGAGGAAUAUUGCACAAUGGGCGCAAGCCUGAUGCAGCAACGCCGCGUGAGGGACGAAGGCCUUCGGGUCGUAAACCUCUUUUCUGGGGGACGAGUAAGGACGGUACCUCAGGAAUAAGUCUCGGCUAACUACGUG